rnacentral:misc_RNA from 1 species
GAUGAAGAACGCAGUGAAAUGCGAUACGUAAUGUGAAUUGCAGAAUUCAGUGAAUCAUCGAGUCUUUGAACGCACAUUGCGCCCCCUGGUAUUCCGGGGGGCAUGCCUGUCCGAGCGUCAUUGCUGCCCUCAAGCACGGCUUGUGUGUUGGGCCUCCGUCCUCCUCCCGGGGGACGGGCCCGAAAGGCAGCGGCGGCACCGCGUCCGGUCCUCGAGCGUAUGGGGCUUCGUCACCCGCUCUUGUAGGCCCGGCCGGCGCUUGCCGACACAUCAAUCUUUUUUCAGGUUGACCUCGGAUCAGGUAGGGAUACCCGCUGAACUUAAGCAUAUCAAUAAGCGGAGGA